rnacentral:lncRNA from 1 species
UUAAGACAUCUCGUGCACGGACAAAGUAUCUGGCUGUCUUUGGGGUAUCUUUCACGAACAAACUUCAUGAACUCUUCAACUCCCGUCACAUAUGUAGGUGUGAAUGGUCUCCCAAAAACCCAGCUUCUAUCCAUCUAUUUUAACAGUACAAUUUGUAUUCAGUACUAAAAUUCAAGCAAUAAAUUAACAAAAUAAAAAAAUGCAUAUAUGUAAAAAAAACUUGAAUACAAAUCAAACCUUUAUCUCUGCCGUCAGGGCCACUUGGCGCCGCCGCUAAUCUGUCCACACGCGCUGCCGCUGACCGGUGCUCCUCUGCCCGCCCCACGAUCGCCGGCGCAGCCACUGCACAACACUGCUUUCUUCUAACACUCUUUUAAAAUUUAGAGAAACAAUUACUAACUGCAAUUUUAAGAAAUAGCCAGCCACAAUUAUUAAUUAGUACAUGCUUAAGGAUAUAGGAUUACACAAUUAUUAAUUAGUACAUAAUUAAGGAUAGGAUUAUAGGAAUAACUGUACAAGAUAGAAAUAAAUACCUAUACAGAUCACGUUUGCCCCCGCAGUGCCGCUUGCAUGAUGGUGAUGACACUAGAACCGCCUCGACGUGCACUCGCACUAUGC